AUUUAGUAGUAGUAUAGUACAAUCCAGAAAAAUAGUUUCUGUUUUAAGAGAAGAGAGAAACACAAUGUAACCCUAGUCCAAUUCACCGUCACACUCAAGGUCCUCUCCACCGUCACGAAAAGGAAUCACCUUGCCACCGUCAUGAAUGAAGGAACUCGCCCAAUCACGAAAGAAAUCGCUCAAUCGCGAAGAAAUCAGACGAAUUUAAUUUUGGGAUUCACAGGUGACUUCACUGUUUUUGUGCAUUUUGUCCACUGAGCGAUUGACCUCCAACAAGGCAUCCACAAACAAAUUAUGGAACACUGACAAAUUUGUGCUGCAAAACUUGCCUAAAGAGAAUAAUAUAUCUGCUUGGGAGAAUAUACUCACUUAUAAGACAAGGUCAAAGGAUGAUUGAGUUGGUAUCAAAACGUUUGGCUACAUUAGAGAGAAACCAUAGAAAGCAUAUGUGCAUAUCAAUGGAAUUAGUAGCUGCUGUUCUUGGAGACCAUGGACAGCAUCCUCAUGAAGACUAUGUAGUGGUUACAACAGUUACUGAAUUGGGCAAUGGAAAGCCAAAGUUCUAUUCUACUCGUGAUAAUCUCUUUUUGCAUAAAAUGGCGAUUACCAACAAAUCACGUGUGGUUGUUCUCAACAAGAAAAUCAGCCUCUUCCUUCUUUGCUGCCUAUGAUGCCUAAUGCGAGGAAGGUACUGCAACUUCUGUAUGCAGGGCUCUUGAUGAAAUUGAGGACGUAUCUAUACCAGGUAUGAAUGUUAAGUUAUCACUAUUUAUUUAACUUGACAUUGUGUCUCAUGCUCCACAUAUAUGAAGAAAUGGUAUUUGAUAGAAAAUGAUUUUUUAUUUUAUUUUAAAUGAAAAUAGAAAGCCUACUUUGUUUUAAAUUCUAUGAAAUAGACUGACCUGAUGGAAAAAAUAGAAUGACCCUGAUGGAAAAAAUAGAAUGACCCUGAUGGAAAAUAUAUGGUAUUUGAACCUAUACGGUUCGAUAAAUGGGAGGAUGUUGAUACUGUGACCCUUAAUGGAAUGAAAAUAGAAAGCCUAUUUUGUUUUAAAUUCUAUAAAAUAGAAUGACCCGAUGGAAAAAAUAAAAUGUCCCUGAUGAAAAAUAUAUGGUAUUAGAACCUAUAUGGUUCGAUAAAUGGUAGGAUGAUGAUACUGUGACCCUUAAUCGAAUGAAAAUAGAAAGACUACUUUGUUUUAACUUCUAUAUAAUAGAGUGACCCGAUGGAAAAAGAAGAAUGACCCUGAUGUAAAAAAUAGAAUGUACCUGAUGGAAAAUGUAUGGCAUUUGAACCUAUACGGUUCGAUAAAUGGGAUGAUGAUGGUACUGUGACUCUUAAUCGAAUGAAAAUAGAUAGCAUGCUGCCUACUUUAUUUUAAAUUCUAUGAAAUCGAAUGACCCGAUGGAAAAAUAGCACGACCCUGAUGGAAAAAAUAAAAUGUCGCUGAUGGAAAAUAUAUGGUUUUUGAACCUAUACAGUUCGAUAAAUGGGAGGAUGAUGUUGCUGUGACCCUUAAUCGAAUGAAAAUAGAAAGCCUACUUUGUUAUAAAUUCUAUGAAAUAGAAUGACCCGAUGGAAAAAAUAGAAUAACACUUAUGGAAAAAAUAGAAUGUCCCUGAUGGAAAAUAUAUGGUAUUUGAACCUACACGGUUCGAUAAAUAGUAGGAUGAUGGUACUGUGACCCUUAAUCAAAUGAAAAUAGAAAAACUACUUUGUUUUAAAUUCUAUAAAAUAGAAUGACCCGAUGGAAAAAAUAAAAUGUCCCUGAUGGAAAAUAUAUGAUUGUACAGUGACACUUAAUCGAAUGAAAAUAGAAAGCCUACUUUGUUUUAAAUUCUAUGAAAUAGAAUGACCCUGAUGGAAAAAAUAGAAUGACCCUGAUGCGAAAAAUAGAAUGUCCUUGAUGGAAAAUAUAUGGUAUUUAAACCUAUACGGUUCUACAAAUGGGAAGAUGAUGAUACUGUGACCCUUAAUGGAAUGAAAAUAGAAAGCCUACUUUGUUUUAAAUUCUAUAAAAUAGAAUGACUUGAUGGAAAAAAUAAAAUGUCCCUGAUGAAAAAUAUAUGGUAUUAGAAUCUAUAUGGUUCGAUAAAUGGUAGGAUGAUAAUACUGUGACCCUUAAUCGAAUGAAAAUAGAAAGACUACUUUGUUUUAACUUCUAUAUAAUAGAAUGACCCGAUGGAAAAAGAAGAAUGACCCUGAUGGAAAAAAUAGAAUGUACCUGAUGGAAAAUAUAUGGCAUUUGAACCUAUACGAUUCGAUAAAUGGGAUGAUGAUGGUACUGUGACUCUUAAUCGAAUGAAAAUAGAUAGCAUGCUGCCUACUUUGUUUUAAAUUCUAUGAAAUCGAAUGACCCGAUGGAAAAAUAGCAUGACCCUGAUGGAAAAAAUAAAAUAUCGCUGAUGGAAAAUAUAUGGUUUUUGAACCUAUACAGUUCGAUAAAUGGGAGGAUGAUGUUGCUGUGACCCUUAAUCGAAUGAAAAUAGAAAGCCUACUUUGUUAUAAAUUCUAUCAAAUAGAAUGACCCGAUGGAAAAAAUAGAAUAACACUUAUGGAAAAAAUAGAAUGUCCCUGAUGGAAAAUAUAUGGUAUUUGAACCUACACGGUUUGAUAAAUGGUAGGAUGAUGGUACUGUGACCCUUAAUCGAAUGAAAAUAGAAAAACUACCUUGUUUUAAAUUCUAUAAAAUAGAAUGACCCGAUGGAAAAAAUAAAAUGUCCCUGAUGGAAAAUAUAUGAUUGUACAGUGACACUUAAUCGAAUGAAAAUAGAAAGCCUACUUUGUUUUAAAUUCUAUGAAAUAGAAUGACCCUGAUGGAAAAAAUAGAAUGACUCUGAUGCGAAAAAUAGAAUGUCCCUGAUGGAAAAUAUAUGGUAUUUAAACCUAUACGGUUCUACAAAUGGGAAGAUGAUGAUACUGUGACCCUUAAUGGAAUGAAAAUAGAAAGCCUACUUUGUUUACAAUUCUAUGAAAUAGAAUGACCCGAUGGAAAAAAUAGAAUAACCCUUAUGGAAAAAAUAGAAUGUCCAUUGAUGGAAAAUAUAUGGUAUUUGAACCUAUACGGUUCGAUAAAUGGUAGGAUGAUGGUACUCUGACACUUAAUCAAAUGAAAAUAGAAAGUCUACUUUGUUAUAAAUUCUAUGAAAUAGAAUGACCCGAUGGAAAAAAUAGAAUAACACUUAUGGAAAAAAUAGAAUGUCCCUGAUGGAAAAUAUAUGGUAUUUGAACCUACACGGUUCGAUAAAUGGUAGGAUGAUGGUACUGUGACCCUUAAUCGAAUGAAAAUAGAAAAACUACCUUGUUUUAAAUUCUAUAAAAUAGAAUGACCCGAUGGAAAAAAUAAAAUGUCCCUGAUGGAAAAUAUAUGAUUGUACUGUGACACUUAGUCAAAUGAAAAUAGAAAGCCUACUUUAUUUUAAAUUCUAUGAAAUAAAAUGACCCGAUGGAAAAAAUAAAAUGUCUCUGAUGAAAAAUAUAUGGUAUUUGAACCUAUACGAUUCGACAAAUGAGAGGAUGAUGAUACUGUGACCCUUAAUGGAAUGAAAAUAGAACGCCUACUUUGUUUUCAAUUCUAUAAACCAGAAUGGCCCGAUGGAAAAAAUAGAAUAACCCUUAUGGAAAAAAUAGAAUGUCCCUUGAUGGAAAAUAUAUGUUAUUUGAACCUAUAUGGUUUGAUAAAUGGUAGGAUGAUGGUACUCUGACACUUAAUGAAAUGAAAAUAGAAAGCCUACUUUGUUUUAAAUUCUAUUAAUUAGAAUGACCCGAUGGAAAAAAUAGAAUGACCCUGAUGGAAAAAAUAGAAUGUCCCUUGAUGGAAAAUAUAUGGUGUUUGAACCUAUAUGGUUCGAUAAAUGGUAGGAUGAUUGUACUGUGACCCUUAAUAGAAUGAAAAUAGAAAAACUACUUUGUUUUAAAUUCUAUAAAAUAGAAUGACCCGAUGGAAAAAAUAAAAUGUCCCUGAUGGAAAAUAUAUGAU